rnacentral:sRNA from 1 species
AGGUGGCUGCUGUGGGAGGCCAGAGCUACCUGAGUUCCAUCCUCAGGUUCUUUGUCAAGUCCCUGGCCAACAAGACCUCCGACUGGCUUGGCUACAUGCGCUUCCUCAUCAUCCCCCUCGGUUCUCACCCUGUGGCCAAAUACUUGGGGUCAGUCGACAGUAAAUACAGUAGUUCCUUCCUGGAUUCUGGUUGGAGAGAUCUGUUCAGUCGCUCAGAGCCACCAGUGUCAGAGCAACUGGACGUGGCAGGGCGGGUGAUGCAGUACGUCAACGGGGCGGCCACGACACACCAGCUUCCCGUGGCCGAAGCCAUGCUGACUUGCCGGCAUAAGUUGUAAGUUUGACCUUGAGGGGUUUCUUAAAAAUAGGUUGGGUGGGUUAGAGGAAUCUUGAAUCUUCCUUGCUGUUUCACAUUUUCCUUCUCCACAUGCUAUAUUCCUUCAUAGGA